AGAAGUAAUUUUCACCUUUUUUUUUUUUUUUUUUUUUUUUGUGUUUUUCCAUAAUUCACUACAAAAUCGCAACCUAUAAUUACAAAUUCAGUGAAUUUUUAGUCAAUUUUGUCGAGGUUUAUUGCGCUUGAACUUUUGUGAAUUUUGGUUUGAAUUUGUGUGAUUUGGUAAUUUUCUUCACUCAGAUUAUUAGAUAUUGAUUUGAUCGAAUUGACUUCGAAAUCAUGUUUCAGGCUUGAUUGUUUUUAGGUAUCUUAAUUCUUCUUUAAUUUGUCCAAAAUUGUUGCUUAUAAGUUCUGCUGAAUUUAAACUAUCAUUGUUUCCUACAAUAAUGUCAGUUUUAAAAGUAGAUAGAAAUCUAAAGUAAAUCAUUUAGACUCCAAAGUAUUAUUUUGCUCUUAUUUAGAAAAGUAGAUAGAAAGAUAGUAAAAGUAAAUCAAAUACGGUAAGAAGUAAACUUGUGUUAAAACUAGCAAUUUCACAUUCUGUUACACUUGUAUAGGAUAAUCAUAGAAAAACAGGAAGUAUGGGGUAGAGACUGUUAAGAUUUUAGAAUGACCAAAGGAAGCAAAUUGGAUCACAUGAAUGUUAAUGCCUAGUUGGAAGAUCCAUUCAUGUGGGUGAUUUAGCAUACUUGAGUUAUAACUGGUAGGCCAGUACCAGACACUAUUAUGUAAAUAUGAAGCAGUGGAGGUUUUCUGCUGAAUUGUUUCAAUAUGUGCCUAUUUUUCACUGAAUUUCAGGUCUUUAGAACUGCUCGAUCAAAAGUAAACUAAAUAUCUAUAAAAGUAAACUAAACCUCUCUAAAGGUAACCCUAAAUCUCUAGAAAAUCAGAUGACUUAAUGGUUUUGUUGCUGCUUUUGUAGCCUGUUGUUACAGAGACUGAAGGAAAUAAUGCCCUUGGUCCAAGUAUGCAUUCUAUGUUAAGUCUAAUAAAUGCGGUUCAGUAUUAAUUAACAAGUUAAUAAUUCAGUGAGAUCAAGUGAGCUGAAUGCCUAGCUAGAGGCCGCUUCAGUUCAAGUGGAAUUAAUGAUAUUAAUCCACAGCUUACUCUUGACUGAACCCAUAGGGUCACACAAAUAGUACGUAAACGGAUCAAGUAUUUAAUGGCAUUAAAUACUCUAUCUAUGGAUAUUCGGAAUCGACGGAUCUUGGUUUCAGUGGGAGCUGAGAUCGUCACAAGCAAGAAAUGAAUACUCCGGAAACGAUGAUAUUGCCGGAAAUGGAAAUAUGGAUCGUAUCGGAAAUAUAAAUAUUAUCCAAGUCGUAGAUGUUGCCGGAAACGGAAACAUGGUACGUAUCAGAAAAUAUUAUCGGAAAUGGAAAUAUUGCCGGAAUCGGAAAUAUUGCCAGAAACGGAAAUAUUGUCAGAAUCGGAAAUAUUAUCGGAAUCGGAAAAUAAUUCCGGAAACGGAAAUAUUAAAUAUUUGUUCGAAACGGAAAUUAAUUCCGGAAUCGGAAAUAUUAAAUAUUGUUCGUAUCGGAAAUGAAUUCCGGAAUCGGGAAUUUAAUCGGAAGCGUAUCGUACGAAUUAGCAUCGGACGAGGCCCGCCAGACGAAGGCCCAGCACGAAGCUAGGCCAUCGCCCAGCGAGCCGCACGCAGCAACGCACGCCUCGACCAGGCCCAGCCAAGGGCGCGCGCGCGCGCAGCACUUCACAUGGGUUGUGCGCCUAUCGUGGGCCGCAAGGCCUGCGCGGGUGCACGGCUUGUACGAUGCGUGUGCGGGAAAUCCUAAUCCUAUUAGGAUUUGUGCAAAGAUUAAAAUCCUAAUCCUAUUAGAUUUUCUUUGUUAUUUAGAGUCCUAAUAAAGUUCUAAUUAACAAAUCCACAUCCUAGUAGGAUUACAAUUCCUUUUCCAUACUCCUAUAAAUAAGUGCCUAGGGUCACAAUUUAUGGGCACGAUUGAAGUAUUCAAAGGGUAAGUUUUUGAAAUAUAAAUCAGCCAUACACUUGCAAUAAGAGCCGAAAAUCCUAAGCACCUUGAGGGGGAUUCUAGUUGGUCUAACUUGAGGCGGAUCCGGACGUACUGUGGACUAUCUACGGAGGGACGACAUUUGGAGUCCUAAAGACUUGUUCUUGUUCGGUUCGGGCGCAGCUAGGGAAGGCACGCUACAACAUAUCUGCUUCUGUUCGGCCUUUGUUUCUGCCGAUCUUUUUGUGUAUGUUCUAAGCUUGGGCUGUGGAGCUAAAAAACGUGCAAUGUUUAGACAUGUUGAUAAAAUUUCUCAAAGAUAGAGGUAAGUUCUCGUGGCUGUGAGUUAUUUUUUUCUGGCUUGAGUUUGGAGUGUACAUUUUGUGAGCUUGGUUUGUUUCUGCUUAGUAGUAGGCCAACAUCAGUGUGACUGCAUUUUGUUAAGUGUUGGUGGCUUAGAAUCAAUCUCGGAACUAGGUUCAGAGUUGUCGGAAUCUUCUAGUUGUUGCAAUCGUUGUCAGACCUGGUCAUGUAUGAAUGCAGAAAAGUUGUGGUGUUUCUUAGUGGUUUUUGGGAGAAUGUGUGUUGAGGUAGGUGAUGGUUUGUACUUAAGAUGUAUGUAGGCAAAGACGAGAUUGUGUUGAACUUUAGGCGUGUGUUCAAUUAGUUUAUACCCUAACGUGUUCUGUUUACUUUUGGAGAGAUUAACUUUACUUUUCAAGAGAUUUAGUUUACUUUUAGGGUUUGGUUUGCAGCCUGGUUCUUUUUUUGUGCUUUGAUUGCUAGUUUAAACUGUAGUGGUUGAGUACAAGAAGGAGCUUCUUGGGGGUUGUGUCAGUCAGUUGGGAGCGCUAGAUGUUGUUGGCUUGGCAGUAGUUUCUAUUCUUGCUGUUGUGCUUCAUUUUCUUUGUUUUCCCUUUCUGUUCUUGCUGUUGUGCUUCAUUAUUGUAGCUGGUUGUUUUUGGAGCUAAAAAACGUGCAAUGUUAAGAGAUUUUUGGGUUUCAGAUAGAGAAAAUAGCAUUUUAUUUGCGUGGUUACCAGGCAUCUUGGCUAUACAUCUAUAACCUCUACUGAUAAUGCCUGAUCACCUGCAAAAAUUAUGUGGAAUGAUGUGGUGGUAUUAUCUUUACUCCUGAUCAAAGAAUCCAAACUGAGGUAUGUUGGAGAAUUCGGAAUAGUGAUAUACUGAUAUGCAACUUCUCAGCUGGAUUUUACAACCAGACUUCCUCUCUCACUUCCAUCAUCAACACUGCAAAGAUCUUGGGAUUCAUGGGUUUUAUCCUAGUUGCGAAUCCUGCUUAUGGUGAUUUUAGUGCAGAACCAGUGCCUUUCCCUGUGCUUACUAAAUCUCUAAGUAAGCACUUUUCUGAAGCUGGAAUAAUAGUUGAUAACAAAGAUGGUGUGUUGACCCAACAUAUAAAGUAACUAAAUUGUGCUUAAGUAGACUAAAUCUCUUCAAAAGUAAACAAAAUCUCUCUAAAAGUAAACUAAAUAAUAACAAAACUUCAAAUAUAAAUAUCUCUUAAAUAUUUUAUGAAAACCUAUUAACUCAAAUGGUAGAGCAAUGUGCAAUUGCACAUGGAUGUAGGUUCAAAUCCUACAUAGGUCAUAAGUUUUAACAGUUCAACAGUUAAAGAUUUUUAAUUUCUAUAUAAAGUUUUAACAAUUCAACAUGAAGAACUCAAUUAACCUAGUCGAGUUAUCAGAUGUGGGAGAUAUGAGAGCUCGAUUUUGUUUGUAUGUUUAUUUGAAACUAAACAUAAUCAUGGGCGAUGACCUUUUUAUCUAAAUGUUGUCAAGGAAUGGUUAUGUAUUGAUAGUUUAUGUUCUAUGGUUUAUUUGAGCUCCUCACAUAUCACCUUUCUUAUAGAAAGCCCGAUUACCACUGUUGUCUUUCAGUGAUCAAGUUGUUUUAUCAAGUUAUGUUAUACAUAGGUUGGUGAUCUAUACAAAAAAAAAACACUCAAAAUUAGAUAAUAAACUCAAAAGUAAAUUAAAAAAACACUAAAGUAAAUAAGAAAAUCUUAAAAGUAAAUAUGAAAAUUUCAAAAGUUAUCUGAACGUUGUUAACAUUGCACUGGAAAAUGGCAUAUCAAAUUUCCAUAAAAAAAAAAGAAAAAAAAGAAAAUGGCAUAUCAAAUCAGAGGUAUGUGUAUUUUCAGAAGCCUCUCCUUGAGUCGAAAUCGUUCAAAGACUCUAUUGUUUCAUUAUUACUCAUAAAAAUUGAAUGACUCUAUUGUUUCAUUAUUACUCAUAGAAAUUGAAAAAGAGUUUUUUUGCUAUGUAAAUGAAUACUACUAAAAGUAAACUAAAUGAAUUCAAAAGUAAACUAAAAAGCUCAAAACAAACAAAGCCAUUUAAUUUUUUUUAUUAGGAAAAGAACCGUAAUGAAACCCUUACAAAGAUAACCUACGUGGGAUUCAUACCCACAUUUUUGCGCUUUUGCACAACGCUCUAUCCAUUGAGCUAGUAGGCUAGUGUUAUAUGACCAUAGAGUAGUAAGAAUAAUUAGAAUGCAAUCAUAUAUUUAUAAAUAACUCGUAAAAGUAAAAGGAUAUCAAAAAACAACAAGCAUCAGUAAACAAUACUCAACUUGGAAGCCCAACAGAGCACCCUGUCUUCAAACCUAACCACAUCCCAGAACACCUCUCAUCUUCUGACCACCAACAACCAGCAAAAAAGCAGCACAGACUUGACAAGUGACUUGUCAUAACAUAACAGCAACAGAAUAAGGCAAUAGGAACAAGAGACACAAAGGCAACCUAACAAAACCACCCUAUAUUGACCAGCAGAAUAGUCAACUCAUGUCACCUGCAAUUCAGCAGCCAACAAUGUCCAUUGAUAUAUCACAGCUUUGGAAGGCUCUCUAUUAGUCCAGAACAAUGAGAAUGGUAGCUCAAAUUACACAUCUAAUGUUUGCAGACAUGUCAUUGAGUAUAAUUUCUUAUAUGGUGCCCAUAGUCAUCACCAAAAUGUGUGAACACACACACCGAACAAUCUGAAAAUAGUAAACUCAACCUUUCUGAAACAAGAACUGUAUUACAGGCAUCAGGCAUGUUGAACACUGAAAGUAACAUACACACGCGCGCGCACACACACACACACACACACACACACACACACAACAUGCUUGUUUGCUGAUGUAGUUUUAAUGUUGAUCAGAUGCCCCUUUGUUCUAAGCAGCUAGGACGCUAUGUUCUGGUCUACUAGUUUUGAGGUCUGUUGGCAGUAGCUAUUUGCUAGCUUGAUGCAGACAUAUGCAGAAUGUUUCAUUAUCAUUCUCAAAAUAUUUAAAGUAAAUAUUAUCCUAUUAAAAGUAAAUAAAACAAUACAAAAAGUAAAUAUUAGUAGAAACUAAUUGAACACACAACUAUACUCCAGUAAAGAGUCUCGUCACUGUAAUGCACACACUUAACAUAAUGAGAUAUGCUACACUAUCUCUGCAAGGCCAAAACCCCUGAAAAACUAAUUCACAUGGCUCCAUCCAUCAAUUCACAUCAUCUAGUCUGAACCCCAACAACUGUCGAAUCCCACAAAAGCCAAAAACAGAAUUAAAAAGAAAAAGAAACAUCCAACGCAAAACAAAUAGAACCAGUUGCAGUCUUAUAUAUUUCCAUUUAGAAAUAUAGUAGGAAGAAUUAGAAUGUAAUAGUGAAUUUUGUCUAUUGUUCAAUUUAAAAGUAGACAAAUAACUUACAAAAGUAAACAAAAUUGAUUCAGAAGUAAAGGAUCGCUAAAUUGGAGAAUGGAUAUUGGAGGAUUUAAGAAAAUAUAAGUUGCCUAUUGGAGGAUUUGAGAAGGAUAAGUUUCCUCUAAAACCAGUUCAAAACAAAUAGCAUCAUCUUUACCAGCAAUAGCUUUUGUCUGAGUUGCAACUACCUCCACUGUAGUCCCUCCUUCAGGUUGAUCCAAAGUCUCACCUACGCAAGCAAUUACUUCCAGGCCUUGGGUUUGUUCAUACUCAAUCUUGUCUGCAACAAACUGGAAGAGAAAAUAUAAGAAAAAAGUCCAAAAAAGACACCUUAGUCAACAAAACAAGACAUAAUAAUCUAUCGAACAACAAGAAAGUCUGAAGGUGGCACAUCAUACAUCGUUUGUUGCAUUUGACAGGGUCUUCUCUCUAGAUGACCAGGGAUCACCCAGUUAAUACCCAAUUGACGAGCAUCUCUGCAAAAACGAAUAGAGCUUGCAUUAAAAAAACUGUAAAACCUAAUUUCAACAAUCAAAAUCGAAAAAACUGAAAUGAACAAACCCCAAUUUUAGCAAACAAAAAACUUAAAAUGAAACCCUAAUAUGAGAAAACAAAAUGGAAAAUACUGGAAAACAAAAAAUUUAUAAACCCUAAUUCCAACAAUGAACAUCGCAAACACUUGAAUCUAAAAUCAGAAAAUAAAAAAACGAUUAUAAAAUAAAUUACUUACUUUACGAAAAAUUGCUGCAUGAGAGAAGAUGCGAAUGUUAGAAGUGCAAAGCUAUGAACUGGGUCAACAUGAAUCGCAGAAGAGAGGGGAAUUGCAGGAGGAGAGAGAAAACGGGGGAAGAGAGAGAAACGAAAACUGAAAAUCGGAUUCAGGGGGAGGAGGUCAUUCAACUAUGCGAUAUUACCAUAUUACCCUUAUUUUUUUGUUUUGUUCGGGUGAGAUGUGGAUCGUUGGAUUGAAUUGCUCGAUGGCUGAGAUUAGUUCUCAGUUCUCAUCUUAAGGGGUGGUUCUCACCGGAUCCUAUAUAUAUAUAUAUAUAUAUAUAUAUAUAUAUAUAUAUAUAUACGAAAAAAAUAUGGUCCAUUCAUUUUCACGAGGAUUUUUUUUCUUAAAGUAAGUCCUUUUGACUUGUGUUGGAGAGCCCAAAAUGAUGGGUUAUGUGUUUAGUCCACUUGUGGCUUAAUAGAUUAGCUUAUCUUGGAUGCCUUUGACUGUUUUUGAGCUAUGUAUGAUCUAUGAGAGGGUUAGGUCAGCAACAAGAAUAAUCAGAAUACACACCCAAAAGGAGAUGAGAGAAAGAGAGAAGAGUUGCUCGGAUUUUUCAUGACAACCUGCACGAAUCGAAGUUGUCGAUUUCCGGAGAUUCAACCAUUAAAUUUUGCCUGAAAUUUGGCCAGCUUGUUGGGGACACAUAGGGCUUCGUUUUGAGCUUCGCUUUGUCCGUGGUCGCACCUGGACAGAACCUACGAAAUUGGGUGAUAUUCUUAAUUUUUUCCUCAAAUUCUCCAAUUUUUUUGUUCUUGAAAUUAAGGUUCUUAAUGUUACCUAAUUUCAAGAAUCGUUUUUUUUUUAAGAUCUGAAUAAGUUAGGUGGGGGGUGGGGGAAAUAUGGAGGGAAACUUUUAAAAAAAAUUGUAAAAGUUUAAGACACGUGCAUGUCACGUGAUGGUCAAGGCCGGAAAACAGUCGUUGACCACCGGAAUAUGGUUUAUGGUCCUUAUUCACAACAAAAAAACCCAAUUGGGCCUUCUUUCACAACUUUUUUUUAAAAGAUCCUUUCUCACAAUUUUUGUGUUUUAAAAGGUCAUUUCUGACAAAUUUUCCAUAAAAUAUCAAAUUUUUUAUAUGAGUUCAAGAUUUCAGUUGAAUUUAUUUGUUAAUUAUUGCAGAUUUGCAGGUUGUUGAUGGAAGAGCUCGUCUAGCACAAACUUUUAUCAUAUCGUAUGUUGUAAUUAUUGUUGUGUAUGUUCGAAUUAUCGCUUGCAUAUGUUCUAAAGAUUUCUAUAUCUGUUCUAAACCUUUAUCUACAUUUCUUUGUAAAUUUUGGCAGGUUCACACUCUAUUGACCUUAUUGACUGAAUCAUAGUGAGGAAACAGACGUGAAUUCCAGAGUAUAUAACUAUAUAUAUUACUUUCAUAGUUUUGGGGGAUUUACGUUGUCAUCCCUUUGACUAACUUCAAAGACAUUGUUUUGGUUCCAUGGAUUAUAUGUAUUUGACUAUUUGAGGGUGGUUAUUAUUUCUGAGUGUUAGUCGUAAUGCAAAUUUUAGAAAACUUGGUACUAUUUGGAUGAUGGUAAGUUAAUGUCACAGCCAAGGUGUGGCUUGUAUCCUGAGCCACGGGAAGGCCGUGGCCUUGGCUGUUGAUGAAGGAAGAAAAUAUACCAAGUAACUAAUGCCAAUUGUUUUCCUUAAAUCCUACGAAAGUCAGAGUUUGGUGGAUACAAAACUCUUCCACCCAUUUUUUUAUUUGACGUUUCCUAAUUCUUUUCAAAAUGCUUCUUUAGGAUAAGAAUCAAGGAUUUCCUCAUUCACGUUUUUGGUCAUUGGCAAUUGACGAGUGUACGUGUAAUUGACCCUUCCGUUUAAGCAUAUAUUCAAAUACCCGAUAUUAACCCAAAACAUAACAUACCAAAAAUACAAACCCUAAAUUCUAUUAGAGAUCUGAGCAGUUCUUGAGCAGUUCCACCUUUCAAGUUCGGGUGCACGGAUUUGAAGGAGAGUUGUGUUAACCUUGGGAGGCGUUCGUCACUUGAGAGCCUGUACCGGUAGUGGCGAAAUUCGCUUCUAAGUCAGUGGUCUCCAUACCACGACACAACUAUUUUCCUAUGAGAUCAAUAAUCGGGUAACAUCUAAUCUUAUUGUUAAUCAUAAAUUCUUGAUUCUACAGUUACUUUUCUUACAAUUUAGAAGCGAAUUUUUUACUGUUGAUUCUUUAUUAUGAGAUACACAAUUUGUAUUGGGAGAUGAAGAACUAUUGUGUGUGGGAAUUGGUUAAUUAUCCGAAUUAACUAAUUCGUUGCAUUGGUUGGAUAAAGUUUACUACUUUUUAGUUGUCGUCAAAUUGAUCUCUGAAUUGACUUCAGUAAUGAAUUGAUUAUUAAUACCAAGGUGUGUAUCAUAUGGUGUAUGCCUAAGGUAUGGCUGGAUUAUACGGAGUAUGAGUUUUGAUCAAUAGUAUAAUGGCUAAAGUGAGAGAAAUCAUGUUCAAUCUAACAAGUACUAAUUCUAUGGCGGUGAAUUUAGGUUAAUUUAUUUCAUGGAUUACCUAAUUUAUUAUUCGGUCAUCAAUCAAAUUUCUACUACAAUUUACCAAUUGAUUUGAACUUUCAAUUUAUUGGGAAACUUAGGGUCUAACUGGUAAUGCCAUCAUAAAAUAAGGAAAGUGUAUUCCUAUACUGGUAGAUGCGACGGUUAGUCUUUUGAUCACUCACUGCGGCAUGCGGGUGUUGUUAAUGUGUAUAUUACUGUGUGUUUAUGUGAGAGGUGUUGCGUACUUUCGGUAGUGUUGUGGGGCUUGAGUGUCCAUAACCAGUAGACUCCUCGUCCUCAUUGUGGCUUUGCGGGUUCCGGGGAAGGAAAUUGAUUUAGAGCUUUAAUUUGAUCAGUAGAGUCUGCGACAUGAACGUGGCUUUGGAUUUUCAAUCAGCACAGUAGUUGUUGUUUACAACAUAAUCCGAAGUAUAUGUCUCGCCUUCUUUUCAUCGUCGGUACCCCAAAAUUAAUUAAGAGAACUUGCUGAUUUGAGUCAUAAGAAGUUACUUGUCGUUCUAUGAUGCUUAGUCAUUCCACAUAGGGGCUCUGGAUAAGGUGUUGUGGUGGUCGUGGCCUGGUUGGUGCAGACAUUUAAUGGCACGCAUACAGGUUACUAUUCAAGUGAGUGAUCAAGUUUAUGAAACGACUCAAGGACUGCAACAUGCUAACAGGAAAGUUCAUUCUCACUUUAUUUAUUGUCAAACUUUAACUAUACAUAAUAUGUUUAUUAUGUUUUUUUUAUGCAUGGUAAUAUUUUUGGUGAAUUAUUAUGCAAUGUUGGGGCGAGUUAAGUUUGAGACUAACUAGAAAAUCAACUUGGCUUACUUUGGUGAGUAUUUUGUAUAGGAGACUAUACUUGGUGGUCUGGUAAAGAUAACGAGAUUCAUGAAUUUGUGUAAGUUCCAAUAUAUGGGGUAUCAGUGAUUUUAACUUUUCAUGAGGUUGAGGAUGGUCUCACUAGAUCUUAUCUAGUUAAUUCACCCAUGUCUUGUAUUACUGUUUUUCCUAUGACUGUGAGUUCUUGGAGCUGUGGGGGUGUUUAAUAAGGAGGUGAGCCUUUUUAUCCUUACAGUGUGUUGAAAUUGGCUUAUGUACUUGUAAUGUUGUGGACAUUGUCUAAGCUGAUUUGGAUUAUGCUUGUCUUUUCAUUUAUUUGAAUUGAAUGAUAUCACUAAUUGUGGAUCUCGUGAAGUCAUCUUUUGAUUAACAAUCCUGCAGGGAUAUGCUAAAUUUACAUUUAUAUUCACUCAUUUCUAUUAAUUUCGCUUUGCUUCCAGUCCUUUCUAAUGUGCUGGAUGAGCCAGUUUUACUGAGGUGUAGCAAAGGUAAGAGCAUAACUAGUGGAGUCCAUAAUAUCUUUUGUUUUAUUUUAAAGAAGUUAUGAUGGACCAGUGAAGUUUAUGGUCGAGAAGUAAUGGAUAACUUUCAUGAAUCAUUUUAAGAGGUCAUGUGCAUUAGUUGGGACUAGUUGGACGAGUGUUGUAAUAUAAAGGUGAUUAUGAGUCUUUUAAUUAAGACAUAUUGUGCCUUGGAUAUGUUAGACCAGGGUUGCGCAAUAAUCUUAGCAGGGUUGACUACUAAGUUUCUCUCAAGUGUGAGUUGAAAGGUAAGAGCUUGUAAAAGGCUAAGGGCAGCGCAAGUUAGGUAUUUAGAGGAUUCACUCUAGGUUUAGUAUUGACCACAUAUUAUGUAUCUCUUGUGACUAAGUUUUCCUAACUUAGGGGUUUAUUUGCAUCAACAUGGUUACAUGUGUGAUUGAAGUUCAAAGAGAUUUUCAAAUUGCAUUGUUGUGUGGCACCUUGUAUAAGGAAGUGUAAAUAGUGUAAUUAUCUGCUAGUUGUUUCCUAGUAAGGAAUGUUUGGUAGUGGUCUUGAGAAGUCUAAGGUCAGUUGCAGAUACCUAAGCGUGGUAUGAGUAGUUUCAUGUAACUUGUAUUGCCUCAUUGGCUUGAUUAUUAUUGGUUGUGUAUGUAUUGUUGGACUUUGAUGAUUGACUAAUCACAUGGUGUUACAUAAAGUAUACACAGGAAGCUUUAGAGACUAAAGCUGAAUCCAUUCAAGCCAAAGUGUUGGUUAAUUGAGUUUAAUGCAUUAUUGGUGGUAAGACCAAUGAAUUGGUAAGGUACAUAUAAAAUCAAUCUCUUUGUGUAGGGAAGAUAUGUGGUAAAUUAACUAUUGUGUAUAUUAGUUAAUAAACAUUUAUUGUGACUCUAGCCAACUGAUGUUAAAAGUAACUGAGAAGGUAUGUCUCAAAAAGUUGUGUAUGCUAUGAGUUUGAGAUUCUAAUACUUGACAAAUUUUCUUGACCAGGUGUUGCUUUUACAAUGAAGUAAACUUGCUAGCAGAGCCAACUUUCAUGUUUGAGUGGUCGUGUUUUAUUACCUAGGAGUUCUCAUAUUCAUGAACGGUCUGGCGGAGUGACUCGGGCACCCGGGGAAAUCUUCAUUUCAUUGACAAUGACAGUGAUUGACGUUGAGUUUUGGGGUUUGGGUUCGCGAUCGGUUGGGGAUAGAUUCGUCCUUUCAGACUGGGCAGCAUAGGUUCCCUCUUUGAUACGUCGACUUUCACUGAUUUUUUAUGUCACGUAUUCGGACAGACCUGGCGAUGAAUCAUUUGUAUUUAUCUUUGGAGUCGGAAAAGCAAAUGAGUAUUGAAGUUCCACUAUGAAGACAAUUUCUUAUUGGUGGAUCUUGCUAGUCAAGAAGUCAAGUGAUUAUUAUUGCAUGAUAGUUCGAUGUGGGGGUUGGUAAUUCCUCUGAUUCUCUAUAAUUUAACUCACUGGCUUGCAUGUGCAUCCAGAAAUUCUGAUCUUUCUGAAGGUAAAAAACACUAUAGUGUGAGACGUGAGCAAUUAGUGAACGUGGUACUCCACGUGGAGUAUAUAUGCUAGACAAGAGAAGAACUACUCAAAUCUUUAUGCGAAGAAUGAAUCACUAUGUGAUGGUGUCUAACCCGUUGAGGGGAAUGAGUUUUAAAAAUUCAUGCGUUGAUCCAUCCCUUACAGGGUGAUGACGAGUCAGAGCUUAAGGCUUUGCAUUUGUUUGGCCUCACAGACCCAGGCCUCCUGUUUGGAUGGUGUCAUGAGAAGUUAUGGUGGAUACAUUGCUUAAUGUGUUAGCUUCAUAGAUCCGAUUGGCCUCUCUGAUGGACAGAGUCACGAGAUGACGUGAACACUAAUAUUUAUGAUUAGCCUCAUAGAUCGAGGUCACUUGUCAAAGUGAUGUCAUGAGAUGUUCUUGUUGAUUUUCUGGUAUCCAGCCUCAUAGACCGAGGUCACUUGCAUGUCUAAGUGAUGUCAUGAGUGUAGAUACAAUGGUUUCUUUGCUUUGCCUCAUAGACCGUGACCAUUCGAGUUAAUGGUGUCAUGAGAAGAUCUAUACAACUAGCCUCACAGACAUAGAUCACUCGAGUUAGUGGUGUCGUGAGAUGACCGGUGAGUUGUAUAGAUGGAAGGUUGAACUUAAAAGUUCUUAAUGUUCGUGGAACACCUGCGGUGAAUGUGAAGGGAUGCCCUCCUUCUAUGAGUGAUGGGAUAUCUCUCUAUAGCGUUCACUAAGAGUCCCAAGAUGAGCGGCCGUGUUAUUUAUCGAGGAAUUGCUCAAGCUCUUAUGGGAAGGUACGUGUUGUUGGGUCACUUUAAUAAUCUAGGAGUUCAAUCCUUUGGACACUCUCUUGACCGUUAAACACCCUACUCCACUAUGUGUUAGUUCAAACCUUUGGAUACUAACAUUUAAGUACUAAGCCUAUUAUUUACUGCUCAGUUCUCUAAGUCUCGUGUUAUUUUGCAUUAGUGGGGGAAUGUUAGUCGUAAUGCAAAUUUUAGAAAACUUGGUACUAUUUGGAUGAUGGUCAGUUAAUAUCACAGCCAAGGUGUGGCUUGUAUCCUGAGCCACGGGAAGGCCGUGGGCUUGGCUGUUAAUGAAGGAAGAAAAUAUACCAAGUAAUUAAUGCCAAUUGUUUUCCUUAAAUCCUACGGAAGUCAGAGUUUGGUGGAUACAAAACUCUCCCACCCAUUUUUUUUUUGACUUUUCCUAAUUCUUUUCAAAAUGUUUCUUUAGGAUAAGAAUCAAUGAUUUCCUUAUUCACGUUUUUGGUCAUUGGCAAUUGACGAGUGUACGUGUAAUUGAACCUUCCGUUUAAGCAUAUAUUUAAAUACCCGAUAUUAACCCAAAACAUAACAUACCAAAAAUACAAACCUUAAAUUCUAUUAGAGAUCUGAGCAGUUCUUGAGCAGUUCCACCUUUCAAGUUCGGGUGCACGGAUUUGAAGGAGAGUUGUGUUAACCUUGGGGGGCGUUCGUCACUUGAGAGCAUGUACCGGUAGUGGCGAAAUUCGCUUCUAAGUCAGUGGCCUCCAUACCACGACACAACUAUUUUCCUAUGAGAUCAAUAAUCGGGUAACAUCUUAUCUUAUUGUUAAUCAUAAAUUCUUGAUUCGACAGUUACUUUUCCUACACCGAGUGGUGACUCAAAUUUAAGAUGUAGUACGUGCUGCAAAGCGGGUAUGUUACAGAGCAACACCAAACGCAGCAGUUAAGUUCCGCAGGAAUUGAUCAAACGGUGCAUCCUAGCAUGGCCCAUAUAAGUAGAGACCGUUUUCAUUUUCAGUCUUCACGGAAGCAAGUCAUUGUGGUUUACCUAGUUUGGAGGACAAUAAAAUUCCAGACAUUAAGAGAAAACAUGGAACUCGAUACCACUGCCCCUCUGGCCUCUUCUAUGUGUUGGUAUCACAGUCUACAGCCCUUUGAAGUACUUUGAGCUGACAAACCUGGACUCCAUUUUGGUGUUGUUUGGCUUGGUGGUCUAGGCAAAGUACAUGGUUGUAAAAUUCUCUAGGGCUUUUGGUGCUAAGGUCACAUUUAUCAGUACCUCGCCUAACAAGGAGGAGGAAGUUGUCAAUCGUCUUGGUGCUGAUUUCUUUUUGGUCAGCCGUGACCCUCAAUAGUUGCAGGCUGCUGUUGGAACAAUGGAUGGCAUAAUUGAUACAGUCUCUUACCUUUGAUCGCACUCUGGAAAACUCACCGAAAGUUAUUCAUGAUUAGUGCUCCAGACAGACCUCUUGAAUUGCCAAUCUUCCCUCUGCUUAUGGGUAAGCAACCCUCCUUAAACUCCUAGAUAAAGGGGGAAAUAUAUAGAUAGUAGUUACAUGUGGCAGAGACAUCUCGCAAGUUUAUAGUAAGAUAACUAGCUAAGAAGGUGGAGAGAUAAUUGAUACAGACAACCUUGUUCAUUUAAAAGGGUUAUUAAUUAGGAACAUGUUAAAAUGGUGUAGGAAGCAGCAUUAUACAGGUGACAAGGAUGAAAGGAAGUGUUAAAU